GGAGAUGGUCUGAAUGUGGUCCUGACUGACUUGCAAAUACAUACUACAGCUUGUGUGCAACUGAGACAGCUGUACUUUAUGAAACCCGGCUCAGAGUUCACACUCCCGCACCCCAAUGACUGGAAGGAGCUCUAGUUUGAAGCUGCCCUUUGAAAGGCUCAAGCAACGAAUCUUCGUCUCUCUAUCUGGUUUUGCUCUCUGUGUUUUGAGCAAGCUUGGGCAUGGAGGACACAUAGUGUUGCAAGAGGCAGGCUCUCCAUCCACGCUUCCCUGAAGCUGCAUCACCAGACCAAGCUUGGACCUGACAGAUGUUCAUCAGUUUUCUAUUUUUCUCCUUUGGAUGGUGCUUAUAUAUGGCAUGAAGACUUGUGCAGAUGAUGGAAAAAGGUGCAUAUUGUUCUCUACCGACUAUGAAGAAAGCCUAUUUUGUUUUAGAUAUCUAUAGCUGGCCAGGCACGCGUACACAAGACGCCUUAUGUAAUUCUUCCCAGAACUCCACCGCUCAUCUGCUCUGCACAGACAUGACUGCACAGAGGCCUUUUAUUGUGCUUUAUAAAUACGCGCCCUUGUUUUCUUAUCCCUGUUGGUUUGGUUUCCAAGAACAGAAUGGAUAACAAACCUUCUAUUCUCUCUUUUUCUUUUUUUUUUUUUUUUUUUUUUUCUUUUAUUCCCCCCACUUCUUGGCUCUCUUGAGAUUUCUGCUCCCACCCCCAUCCUGCCCCCACCUCAGUUUUCCAAAGAAUCUAAAGCAUUUUUGUGGUUCUCCUGUAAUGAUGCCAUGUCUAAAGCAGAGUGCCUGGUAGACCACAAGAUAUAAUAUACACAUAACGGGUGCACGUGCUAUAACAAUCACAAAAACUUCAGUGACAUUUAACUAAAUUGAAGCAAUUUUUCCCAAGCUGAUGUCCUGUGUGAGCAACUUCUUCAGCUGAAAUAUCUUCAGUGUGGUCAAGCCAAGGACCAUCCCAAUGCUACGUGCUACAUUGUAACCUACCCAUAAUGUUCGUGUUUCCUGCUGCUUCCCCAACAAUUUGAUGACCAACCCAUUAAUUGCUGUUCCAAAAUAAAUGUAUCAAGAUCAUCAA